rnacentral:rRNA from 1 species
UUGACCUCGAAUCAGGUAGGGAUACCCGCUGAACUUAAGCAUAUCUAUAAGCGGAGGAANNNNNNNNNNNNNNNNNNNNNNNNAGUAACGGCGAGUGAAGCGGUAACAGCUCAAAUUUGAAAUCUGGCUCCUGCGGAGUCCGAGUUGUAAUUUGUAGAAGAUGCUUUGGGAGGUAGGGCCGGCCUAAGUUCCUUGGAACAGGACGUCAGAGAGGGUGAGAAUCCCGUAUGUGGCCGUGGCCUACGCCCGUGUAAAGCUCUUUCGACGAGUCGAGUUGUUUGGGAAUGCAGCUCAAAAUGGGUGGUAAAUUUCAUCUAAAGCUAAAUAUUGGCCAGAGACCGAUAGCGCACAAGUAGAGUGAUCGAAAGAUGAAAAGCACUUUGGAAAGAGAGUUAAACAGUACGUGAAAUUGUUGAAAGGGAAGCGCUUGCCACCAGACUUGGGCGUCGGCGAUCAUCCGAGGUUCUCCUCGGUGCACUCGACGAUGCGCAGGCCAGCAUCGGUUUGGGUGGUUGGAGAAAGACCCUAGGAACGUAGCUCUCUUCGGGGAGUGUUAUAGCCUUGGGUGCAAUGCAGCCCACCCGGACCGAGGACCGCGCCUUUGGCUAGGAUGCUGGCGUAAUGGUUGCAAGCGACCCGUCUUGAAACACGGACCAAGGAGUCUAACAUCUAUGCGAGUGUUUGGGCGUUAANACCCAUACGCGGAAUGAAAGUGAACGUAGGUGAGAACCCGUUAGGGUGCAUCAUCGACCGAUCCUGAUGUCUUCGGAUGGAUUUGAGUAGGAGCAUAGCUGUUGGGACCCGAAAGAUGGUGAACUAUGCCUGAAUAGGGUGAAGCCAGAGGAAACUCUGGUGGAGGCUCGCAGCGGUUCUGACGUGCAAAUCGAUCGUCA